AACGAACGCUGGCGGCAUGCCUAACACAUGCAAGUCGAACGAGACCUUCGGGUCUAGUGGCGCACGGGUGCGUAACGCGUGGGAACCUGCCCUUAGGUUCGGAAUAACUCCCCGAAAGGGGUGCUAAUACCGGAUAAUGUCUUCGGACCAAAGAUUUAUCGCCUUUGGAUGGGCCCGCGUUGGAUUAGCUAGUUGGUAGGGUAAAAGCCUACCAAGGCGACGAUCCAUAGCUGGUCUGAGAGGAUGAUCAGCCACACUGGGACUGAGACACGGCCCAGACACCAAGGGGAGGAGGCAGGGGGAAGUAUUGGAAAGGGGGCGAAAGGUGGACCAAGAAAUGCCGGGGGAGUGAGGAGGCCCUAGGGGUUGAAAAUCUUUUUUACCCGGGAUGAAAAGGAGAUGACGGGGAAAAAAAGCCCCGGCAAGCCCCGUG
rnacentral:rRNA from 1 species